UAAACUGUUCGCUAGUCACGACGAAGACCUAGGUUCGAUUCCCCAAAUGGUUAAAAUGUAUGAAAAACCCAUUUCUGGUGUCCCCCGCAGUUAUAUUGUUGGAAAAUUGCUAAAUCGGCGUAAAAC